rnacentral:misc_RNA from 1 species
UUGUACAAAUAUGGCGACUCUCUUGAUAACAAACCUUUAAAGGAAUUCUUACAAAAGGCUUUACGGAACUUUUGCUUUCUGAGAGAUCAUGAUUAAAGUCAGAAUUAAAACAUUCUGAUUGCUACAAGGCUUUAAAACGUUAAUUUUGCUUUUACAGUAGCCCAACAUUCGUUUUUAAGUAAUUUGAUUAAGACGACUUUUUAUCCGCAAGUAAAAUUUAGCUUCAGAUAACAUUAUCAAAAAAGCAAAAUAAAACUAAAAGCUGUGGAGAAGUAAUUCGAUGCUUAAAGGGUUUCUUAUUUUUUUAUAAAAGAAAUGCACCGAAAACGAAAGUUGGAUAGCCGGAAGUAAUAUACAUAUCUGCGAAAUGAAUCAUCAAGGUGAAUUAGAAAAAAAGAAGUACAGAAACUGGGUGAGAGGUGGACAGGCGUAUAAAUAUCUUAAAGAAGGUAUAGAAGGAUUUGCUGAUGACGUGGUUCAGCAAGAACACACCACAAUUCUUAGUGGGGUAAACCACAUUGCUGGACCCCUCUGUAACCAAUGCUGUCUAAGAAAUCUGAGACCGAUACAUAAGAGUGAGAGAGAUCCUGGAACCGGCAGAAACACAUGUUAUUGGGGCCAAUCCAACUGCAACUGCCUCUUUCCAAAGAAACGCCCAUGCCAUUUGAAAGUAUGUGACAGAAUUUUGGAAGACAUACUUGAAUGUCAUGGGUCCACACCACCCACUCCAAACUGGAAAAAUACAGAUACUCAGAAAUGGUGUACAGAUCCAUGGGAGAUUGCCAAAUGUUUCAUCAAUGCACCGGGAUAUUCAGACAAGUCAAAGGCAGCUGAUAUUGACACUCCGGGGUUGCUUCAUCUUUUUAUCAACAACACCAGUCUUCAAUCGCACUUGUCAGACAGCAUUAAUGGGAGUAACACCUUCAGAAAGGUUCUACAAGGAAGAAACGAAUUGGUCCAUUCAUCGACAAUGGAGCUGGAAGACAGAAAACUGGAUGAAUGUAUAGACAACAUCAUAGCAAUUCUUGAGGAUGAGAAAGAAUUGAAAGCAAGAAGCGAUGCUCAACAGGCUGUUUUCAAGCUCAAACAGACGCAAAAGCUGACAUUAGUGAAAAAAAAGAAGAAACUAUAGAAGCAGUUACAGAUAUUACACAGAAAGCACUGCAAGACGCUCUUCAAAAACUGGACGAACAAAGUUUGUGCAAAAGAGUUAGACGACUUGAAUUAGACAACUGUACUUCGAAACAGCGACUUACAUUACUGGAGAGUAAAGUAGACACAUUAGACAAUGUACGUCGCAAUCAUGAGAAACAGUUAGACUAUGUUGAAAGAAAACAAGUACUACAGAAACAAUUGGUGACAAUGUACCAGAAUGAUUACGUGAGAACAUCUAUUUCUCCACUUAAAACGCAAGACAACAGAUUAAGUAACAGAAGUUUAUGUAACACCAGAAAUGGUAGUGAAUGACAUUGACAAAAAUGAAUCACUGCGGGAAGAAAAGCCACCGGACAAGCAAAAUACCAGAAAUAUACAACAGUAUCGAGAGAUAAUACAAACGAAUCACCAAAAACACAAAAGAAUAUAUAUAGUAGGUGAUGUCGGGACGGGAAAAAGUACAUUUUGCAAAAUGAUGAUUCAAAAUUGGUGUUAGGCCAUUACUGCAGAGGGAAGUUGUACUAACAAGCCUGAAACCCCCAGGAAGUAUUGUUUUAAAUGUAUAAAUGAUGAUCAACGAUUAGCUGAAAACGAUGAAAAUAUCAACGAGAUGAGAAAGAUUUUCUUUUCUUCGUGCCCUUACAGAGAAUGUCAGGAUAUGGCGAUAUUACUGAAAUGAUCAAAGCAAUUGUCACCGCAGCUGAUCUCGCAUCCACUGGUUUGAGAGACAGAAUGUUUGAGCAGGAAUCUGAACGUUGUCUCAUCGUAGAAGAUGGUUUGGAUGAAUGGAUUCCUCCGAAAGUAUCUGUCUUACAACAUGUCAGCUAUGGUCUACCAAAGAGAAGCAAGGCAAAGCAUGCCAUUCUCGUUACACUUUCUCGACCGUCAGCGAAAAGACUUUUAAACAUAAAGUCUUCUGAAUACGAUCAAAAAGUGGAAUUAUUAGGAAUAAAUAAGAAAUCUAUUACCGAUUUCAUUAAAACCUACUUGUCAAAGUUUCCCAAGACAGAUCUGUUUUAUGAAGCAUUCAUGGAAAAAACAAGGACGGCAAAACUUAAACAUCUAGAAAAAACACCCCUGCUUUUGCAGCAACUGGUAUGGUUAUACUGCACCGGAAAUGAUAUUGGAAAAUCUAUCAGUGAUACAUACUGUCAUAUUGUAAAUAUUAUGCUUGGCUGGUCGCAAAAAAGAGAUGAGUGCGAAGACAUGGAUGGGGAUCAGAUUGACAUGACGAAACAAGAUGAGCAUAUGCAGCUGCCUAGACUGUUACAGAAAUUUCCAAGAUGUGAAGCAAACAAACGAUUUCUACUCCCGUUAGCGAAAGUUGCAUAUGCCGCAUUGACUUCAGAAAUUGGAUCUAGCACAUUCGGUCGAUUAGAUCUCCAACAGAGAGAAAUUCCAAAAGACGUCAUAACUGCACUCAUAUGGUUUGGUAUUCUCAUAGAAAAUAACUGUUUUGAUCGUACUAAAGAAAAUACUCAGUUGGAAUUUAUUCACAUAUCUUAUCUCGAGUUUUCGCAGCUAUAUAUGUUUCAAGCCAUUAUAAUGAAAAUCAGCGUUCAAAACUUCCAAAGACCAAUUUGCAGGACCUCUUUCAGAAGUGUAAAUCUGCUGCUGACGUCCUGCAGUUAUCAAAUGUACUCAAACGGAUUAGUGAGUUAUCUCCAUUUCUACUACCAGAAUUAUCAAAAUCAGUCUCAGAUAUCGUAAAUGUGGACGAAAGUGUUACCAGGUUCAGAAACUACCUGUCACCGUUCGACCAGUAUCGCAGUGUAUCACGUGAGAUUCAGUGUCUGAUACUCGAUUGUCUAUCGGAGUGUGAUACAGAUGGUCAACAGAUGGUCAAUCUUUGUGAUGUUACCAUAUACAACCAUACAGAGGAGUCCUUUCUGCAAAGGAUAAAACCGGAUAAUGUAGUAUCUCUGUAUGUAUUUAGUAUCUCAAAUGUAGAAGUAUGUAGACGGAUUGCACGACUGAAACGACUUCAAUAUUUGUACAUUGGUCCAAGUCUGUUAGCACAUAGUGAGAUGGUAUUAGUAUCCUCCUUAAUACAAGAAGCAUCUUUAAAAUAUCUUUCAUUGCAAUCUGUAAGAUGUAACUGUUGUCAUGAUCAUGAAAUAAAUCUUUCAAACAUUGAUCAGCUACAGAAACUUGAUCUUGGAAUCGGUAACAGUACAAGCGUGACAAUUCAUAAUAUAAAUACUAAACAUCUUGAAACAGAUGAUUUCAAUAUAUUGGAUCUUCGGUUACAUGCCCCUAAUCUGGCGGAACUUUACACUGGAUAUACUAGCCUUCAUAUAAAUACAACGAACAGGUGAAUUUUGUGGUACAAACUUUACAGCAACUACGGAAAUUCAAGUUAGAGAGUGUAUAUAUUUCUGACAGUGCUUUCAUUGUAACACCCGGAAUGAGAAACUUCUAACACAUUGAACUAUUGCAUUCCGCAAUUAUCCCACAGACAUGGUGUAGAUUCGUCGAUAGUCUUCUUACUCUCCAACAAUCUGUGCAGGUGGAUAUAUUAGAACAUGUGACUUUGGGCGUAUUAACAAGAAACAGACGUAACUAUGUUAGUAGGAAUACAACCAUGUUUGAAGUGAUAGAAGACAGCCGUAACACUUUCUAUUUUAAGACCAAAAUGUAAUUGCGUCCUAUUUUUGCAUUCAAAACGUUUUUAAAUCUGCGAAUAUUGAAACAUUUACAUUAAAAUAUUACAUUAUAAUAAUGAAAUUAUGUCUGAUUGAACUUAAAUCUGUAUAGGUGAAUGCAUUAGGUUGUUUUAUUUCGGAAAAAAACUGAAAGAAGGCGAACGUAACUACGUAGAAAUAAAUACUAAGAUGUUUGAAAUGAUAGGAGAGGACUGCAUCAGUUUUAAAUUUAGGACAAAGAAAAAAUUUUAUCAUACUAUUUUCAUCGAACCUGUUGAAAUCUCCUACGUUAAAACAUUACAGUAUGAUAAUCAAACUAUCUCUGAUGAAACUUUGUGUGAGCUACUAUAGCAGUGCCAUAAUUUUGAUAUAUAUUUAAUAUGUUGUUUUUAAUAAUCUGUAUAGUGUCUUUAAACAUUCACAGCUGACAAAUCAGACAGGGGUCUUUAAUGUUCAUGCAUAGGUAUUUUUAGACUUGUUUACUUGGUUACUUAGCUAGUCAUAUUGUCGCAUUAGUUGAAAAGUGUGAUCACAUGACUUAGUGGUUCUGUGCAGAACAUAUUGAUAACAGCUAGUCACAUGUAUUUUUUGUGAGCUGUCAUAAGUUUGAUUGAUUUUAAAGAUUUGUUGGGAUUGUUGCCUAGAUUGAUUUGUUUAAAUGCUGUUUCUUGAAUAGCGGUUUUAUUCAUCCUGUGCACGUUCUUAGAACUGUCAUUCUUGAAUUGGCACUAGAUUUUGUAAUGGCUGAUCUGCGAACUGCCGCUACAUUCUUUUAACACUUUGCGACCCAUGUGGUUCUGGGACGAUCUAUGUAUGAAAAGAAAACCACUGCCUUACCCUUGCAUGAUCGUAAGAGGCAACUAAUAGGGUCUUAACACUUGGUUUUGCUGUAACUCUGCGAUUCCAGCAG